rnacentral:lncRNA from 1 species
CUAGGUUUCACUGGCAGAUCCAAAGUCAAAAAAGCCCCAGCCUUGAGACUACUUCCCACCUCCAGGGAAUAAAACUGAAAUUCCUGCAUUUCACACAAAAAAAUCAGUGAAAUACUAGAACUUUUUAAAAACAUUACUUCCUUUACAUGCCUACGUUUCUAAGGCAAUACAUUAGCUUUUAGUUAAUAAAUCAUACUUCAAGACUCGUCAUCACACUACCAGGCUUUUCAUGCCUUCCUCUGUCACCCAGGCUGAGUGCAGUGGCACGAUCUCGGCUCACUGCAACCUCUACCUCCUGGGUUCAAGCGGUUCUCCUGCCUCAGCCUCCCACGUACCUGGGACUACAGGCGCAUGCCACCAUGCCCGGCUAAGUUUUGUAUUUUUAGUAGAGACUGGGUUUUGCCAUGUUGGCCAGGCUGGUCUUGAACUCCCGACCUCAGGUGAUCUGCCCACCUCGGCUUCCCAAAAUGCUGGGAUUACAGGUGUAAGCCACCAUGCCUGGCCUCAAGUACUCAAAUGUUUACUAAGUGAAUGAAUUAACCCAUGUUUAUUCUGAAAGCAUUCAACAUAUAUACAUCAAGCAGGUAAUCUCAAAUUCUGCAAGUCUAAAAUUAAUUUCUGUACCUUUUCCUGAACUCCCUUAUUUCUAAUAUCUCUUAACUUGUCUGACUGCCUCUGUUCUCCUACACCUCCAAACCACCCUCAAUAAUGCAGCUAGCAUUAGCCUUCUCAAGUAUAUGUGAUCAUGUCAUUUCUCUCUAUAUAAACCCAUUAAUGUUGCUCAUUCACUUCCAGUCUACUUCAUAAGAAGACUCAUACCUAGAAUACUCUUUUAUUGGAUUUCUUUACAUAUUUCUUUGCUACAUGAUGAUAUGCUACCAUCCCUUACUUCUAAAAGCAAAUCUAAUAUCAUCCCAGACAUCUAAGAUUUUAGGCCACAUGUGAUGGCUCUGCUUAAAUCUUGAAAUCAUGAGGGGCACAGUACAAUUAUGAGUCCUCUUCUAAAUACCACUAAUUCAAAUGACUUCCGCCAUUCCACCUCAUGAGCAUAAACCAAGGUUAUGAGUAAAAACCUGCAAGGUUUCGUUUUCUAGGAGCCAAAUAAAACCGCAUGCCAUUCAAAGGAGUGAAGCAAAUUGAUGGAUGUUAGAGCAGAGAUCUAUCCCUUUUUUUUUUCUUUUUUUUUUUUUGAAACAGGGUCUUGCUCUGUCACCCAGGCUGGAGUGCAGUGGUGCGCGAUCAUAGCUCACUGCAGCCUCAAACUCCUGGGCUCAAGUGAUCCUCCUGCUUCAGUCCCCCAAGUAGCUAGGAAUACAGAUGCAUGCCACCAUACCUGGCUGAUUUCUAAAUUUUUUGCUAUGUUGUUUAGGCUGGUCUUGAACUCCUGGCCUCAAGCAAUCCUCCUGCCUCAGCCUAUCCCUUCCCUUCCUCCCUUCCUUUUAUUAUUUAUUUAUUUAUUUAUUUUUUUGAUACAGAGUCUUGCUCUGUCACCCAGGCUAGGGUGCGAUGGCGCAAUCUCGGCUCACUGCAAAUUCUGCCUCCUGGGUUCAAGCGAUUCUCCUACCUCAGCCUCCUAAGUAGCUGGGAUUACAGAUGUGUGCCACCACACCCAGCUAAUUUUUGUAUUUUUAGUAGAGACGGGGUUUCAUCAUGUUGGCCAGGCUGCUGUCAAACUCCCAAUCUCAUGUGAUCCACCCACCUCGGCCUCUCAAAGUGCUGGAAUUACAGGCGUAAAGCCACCAUGCCUGGCCUUUUUUUGUUUUGUUUUGUUUUUUUGAGAAAGGGUCUCACUCUGUCACCCAGGCAGGGUGGAAUGUAAUGACAUGAUCACAGUUCACUGUAGCCUCAACCUUCCAGGCUCAAGUGAUCCUCCCACCUCAGCCUCCUGAGUAACUGAGACUACAGGCACAUGCAACCACACCUGGCUAAUUUUUGUAUUUUUGUAGAGACAGGGUUUCACCAUGUCGCUCAGGCUGGUCUCAAAACUCCUGAGCUCAAGCAAUCUGCCCACCUCAGCCUCCCAAAGGGCUGGCAUUACAGGUAUGAGCCACUGCACCUGGUCUAGUCUAUCCCUUUCUUAAGAGAAACCUGGAGAACUGACAAUUCAGCCAAUUCAUGUCUUCUAAUAACCCUGACAUUGAUUCUCACAUGAAAAUGACAUUUAGGACAUAUCAAUAAAUAGCAAAUGAGAUUUAAGAUUUAGAAUCUGCUGCAGUUUAUGAAAUCCACCAUAGUAUAGGAGGAUUAAGGAAAACAUCUGGCUCUUCAUUUUCUUUUUUUUGCGAGACGGAGUUUCGCUCUUGUUGCCCAGGCUGGAGUGCAAUGGCAUGAUCUCAGCUCACUGUAACCUCCGCCUCCUGGGUUCAAGCGAUUCUCCUGCCUCAGCCUUCUGAGUAACUGGGAUUACAGUGCCCACCACCACGCCCGGUUAAUUUUGUAUUUUUAGUAGAGACGGGGUUUCUCCAUGUUGGUCAGGAUGGUCUCGAACUCCUGACCUCAGGUGGAUCUGCCCGCCUCAGCCUCCCAAAGUGCUGGGAUUAUAGGCAUGAGCCCCCGCACCUUGCCUGGCUCUUCAUUUUCUAGCAUAGGGCCUGACAUAAGACUGAUGGCCCUUGAGAACCAUUUCAAACUAGUAUGAGUGAUAAUACAGUCCUAUCCUUCCCUUCCCCAGAACAUUCAUUAAUCUGAGGGAAAGGCUGGUGGGGACGUGGACAUAAAAAUAUAUAACUCCUUCAUCUUUCACCCAGAAAAAGAAAAAUCGAAUUCCCCUGUACCUGUAGCAGAAACUUCAUGUUUCCUGUCUUACUGAGUCGCAUGAAACUAGGAGAAAAGAGAGUGUCCUUCCAUUUGCUCUCUUUCAAGAGAUUAUAAUGAUAGAAGGAGGGUGGCACAAUGCCUACUUCCCAAUCACUAGGUUUUCAUCAGAUCUUUUAAGAGAAUGAUCCAAUCAGACGAGCUACUUGUAAUUAUAAUCUAGUAUAAGUAAAACAUUGUCUUUAAAGAAGCUGUAUUUCUGGCCCGGCCCAGUGGCUCAAGCCUGUAAUCUGAGCGCUUUGGGAGGCAGAGGCAGGUGGAUCGCUUGAGGUCAGGAGUACAAGACCAGCCUGGUCAACAUGGUGAAACCCCGUCUCUACUAAAAAUAAAAAAAUUAGACGUGGUGGUGCACAUCUGUGAUCCCAGCUACUCGGGAGGCUGAGGCACAAGAAUCACUUGAACCUGGGCGUCGGAGGUUGCAAUGAGCCGAGAUCAUUCCAGCCUGGGUGACAGAGUGAGACUUUGACUCAAGAAAACAAAUCAAAACAAAUAAAGAAGUUGCAUUUCUGAAAAUUAAGCUCUCCGAUCAAGUGCUCAUUUAGUUUAGGUUCAUAAAAUUUAUGAAUCCUGUAUCCAUUCAUUUGCCAUCAAAGUCAUCCUCACCCUGGGCCCUUAACUAUGAACUGCCAGAGCAGUAGAAAACUCAAUCCCACAUCUGAUACCUAGCUAAGUUCCUGGCACAUAAUAGGCAUGGAUAUUUGUUAAAAUGAGUGAAAUAAACACAUGGUUUGCUAAUUGUGUAUCAUGUUAAUAAAUCCCUAAAAAGUCUCACAGAUACACAAUCCAGCAGCCUAACAUCAAAAUUCCUAAUGCAACGGGAAUGUGGAUGAUCCACAAUACAUAUUCCUGGAGCCAGUGGUCUCCAGGACAUAUAACAUAACUGAACGUUUGCCUAAAAUACAUUAUUUCCUGGGUUCCAAGUCAUUGUAUCACCUAAUAAGAGAAAGUCCACUUUCUCUGAGAAGUAACAGACCCCAUAAUAAUUACCCAUGAGAUCCUUUGCACUAUUUCAGUCAUUCAGCA